GACAGAGGUGGCGAGCGUUGUUCGGAUUUAUUGGGCGUAAAGCGAACGCAGGUGGUUUGGUAAGUCAGAGGUGAAAGUCCACAGCUUAACUGUGGCACUGCCUUUGAUACUGCCUUUCUUGAGUAGAGUAGGGGGAAGCGGAAUUCCGAGUGUAGAGGUGAAAUUCGUAGAUAUUCGGAGGAACACCGGUGGCGAAGGCGGCUUCCUGGACUCUAACUGACACUCAUGUUCGAAAGCGUGGGGAGCAAACAGGAUUAGAUACCCUGGUAGUCCACGCCCUAAACGAUGGGCACUAGGUGUGGGAGGUAUCGACCCCUUCCGUGCCGCAGCUAACGCAUUAAGUGCCCCGCCUGGGGAGUACGGCCGCAAGGUUGAA
rnacentral:rRNA from 1 species